rnacentral:rRNA from 1 species
UACGGAGGGUGCAAGCGUUAUCCGGAUUUACUGGGUUUAAAGGGUGCGCAGGCGGCUAUGUAAGUCAGUGGUGAAAUCUUUAGGCUUAACCUGAAAAUUGCUGUUGAUACUAUAUAUCUUGAAUGCUGUGGAGGUAAGCGGAAUAUGUCAUGUAGCGGUGAAAUGCUUAGAUAUGACAUAGAACACCUAUUGCGAAGGCAGCUUACUACGCAGAUAUUGACGCUCAUGCACGAAAGCGUGGGGAUCAAACAGG